rnacentral:rRNA from 1 species
CACGUAGGGCGCAAGCGUUGUCCGGAAUUAUUGGGCGUAAAGAGCUCGUAGGCGGCCUGUCGCGUCGGUUGUGAAAACCCGGGGCUUAACCCCUGGCUUGCAGUGGAUACGGACAGACUAGAGGUAGGUAGGGGAGAAUGGAAUUCCCGGUGUAGCGGUGAAAUGCGCAGAUAUCGGGAGGAACACCGGUGGCGAAGGCGGUUCUCUGGGCCUUACCUGACGCUGAGGAGCGAAAGCGUGGGGAGCGAACAGG